GACGAACGCUGGCGGAGUGCUUAAUACAUGCAAAUAGGACGCAGUUGCGAACGGGUGAGUAACGAGUAGGUAACUGCCUAUUAGAGGGGGAUAACUAUUGGAAACGAUAGCUAAUACCGCAUACUAGUAGAUGGACCUGUGUUGUAUUAGUUAGUAGGUAGGGUAAUGGCCUACCUAGGCAACGAUACAUAGCCGACCUGGGAAGGUGAUCCGGCACCCUGGGACAGAGACACUGCCCCCAAUCCUACGGGAGGCAGCAGUAGUUAGUCGUCGGUAAUGUGGGUAACACUGACCGUGGCACGACGCGUAAGGUAAGAAGAUUUUCGGUUCGUAAACCUCUGUUGUUAAGGAAGCGGUACUUAACCAGAAAGGGAGGGCUAACUACGUGCCAGCAGCCGUGGUAAAAC
rnacentral:rRNA from 1 species